ACCCAGUUGAGUCAAGUGUCUUCAUCUAGCCUAAGUGGAAGUAGAUAUGGGCCACGGUCAUUUUUUCUUUUGCCCUCUUACCAGCUCAACCCUGAGGCAGGCCUUGUCUGUACAAGCCUUCUUCACAGCCCCUCCCUAACUGUUCCACAGUGAUCUCCAGGUAGAGUUGAAGAAGUCUUGGAAAAGCCACUGUCCUCAGGGCUGGAGGUCACUGUGGGGUCAGAUUGAUUCUCUAGGCAGCAUACUGGCUCCAGACUGAUACUAAGCUCAGAGUUCUCUUGUGAAAUAUGCAUGCACACCAAACAUGAGCAUUUGCUAACCCAUGCAAAGAAAUUCAUGGUUAACCUAGAGUCAUGGUCUAGUCUGGUACAUCUGUACACCUGAACAUUCAAAUGGUCAGGAAAGCUUCGAGUACCUUUCCUAUGAGAAGGGAUUGGAUCCUCAGUGACCUUCAGGAAAUCCCUAGGAGAGUCAAGCUGUGGCUUGUUUGCACUCCAAGUGUCUGGCCUGGCUUCUGCUGAGGUGAAGUAGCAAAGCCUAGGCUCCAACCUGCAGCCCACACCACAUCCAUGGUCCUCACUUUGCCCAAGAAGCCAACAUGUUGGGAGGUUUUGGUGAGUGAGUUUAGCCAGCAGCCAGCACUCCAAGGCUCUUCUCGUGCAGCCCAGCACAGCCUGGUUGUGUGGACGUGCAGUCCUGCGGGUGUCCUACCUGUCCCCCACAUGGGAGCCUCGUCAUCUUGCCUUCUGUCCCAGCCCAGUUUCCCCCGCCCCCCAGGGCCCGAGAGCUGCUUUCCUGUUUCAUUUUGGGCAGGAAGAGUGAGGUCGUGUUGUUCUUCCCCCUGCUGCCGGCUCAGGCUGUGGGAACAGUUCCCUGAGUGCUUUCCUGUUUGAUACCCUGUGUGUGCAGUGAAGGGAAUGGGGAGCGAUGAGCAAGGCAUGAAGCUUGUGCAUGCUCCUGAAACUGGCACAAACACCAAGGUCCAGGGUCAGGGGAGGAGAAAAGGGGAGGCAAGUUCACUGUGUAUACUUGCACUCCACAAGGAGUGAGGUAUUUG
rnacentral:lncRNA from 1 species